GUGAUGGAUAUCGCCUCAGUCUGACGUGCUGUUCUCAUCAUGAUGUCUGUAAGACAGGGAUAACUUGUUACAUCAUAGGCCGCCUCAGU
rnacentral:sRNA from 1 species